CUUAGUAGAUGUGCUAAUUAGCACUCAAAAGCUCUUGUGGAUAUAGUCCUAGAUUAGACCUGGAUGAAGUUUUGUAUGUGUGACUGCUUUCAUGAUGGCUAUUUGUGUUUUUCCUCUCAGUCGAGUUGUAGAAGCUGCUCCACAUAAAGUGAUUGUGCUCCCUGCAAUUGGAACAGAUGUAGAUGUUCAAUUAAGAGAACAAGAUUUAUCAUGGAAAGAUUUCCUUUCCCAUGCUGAUCAUCUUCCAAGGUAAUGCAAACACCUUUGGUGUUAGUUGUUUUGCUGGAAUAAGUAUGCUUGUGAUUGAUGGACGUGUCUAUAAAUCCCAUCUAAGACUGAAGUUGUGUUUUUGUUUGUGUAGCACUCAAUUUGAAUAGUUUCUUGCAGACUUCCUAUAUGUAUUAUAUACUGGACUGACAAUUUUUUUGACAUUUUUUCACAGACCGAAUAACUACUCACCUGUCUAUCAACCAAU
rnacentral:lncRNA from 1 species